AACGAACGCUGGCGGCAGGCCUAACACAUGCAAGUCGAGCGAGGACUUCGGUUCUAGCGGCGGACGGGUGAGUAACGCGUGGGAAUGUGCCCUUCUCUACGGAAUAGCCCUGGGAAACUGGGUGUAAUACCGUAUACGCCCUAUUGGGGAAAGAUUUAUCGGAGAAGGAUCAGCCCGCGUUGGAUUAGGUAGUUGGUGGGGUAAUGGCCUACCAAGCCGACGAUCCAUAGCUGGUUUGAGAGGAUGAUCAGCCACACUGGGACUGAGACACGGCCCAGACUCCUACGGGAGGCAGCAGUGGGGAAUCUUAGACAAUGGGGGCAACCCUGAUCUAGCCAUGCCGCGUGAGUGAUGAAGGCCUUAGGGUUGUAAAGCUCUUUCAGCUGGGAAGAUAAUGACGGUACCAGCAGAAGAAGCCCCGGCUAACUCCGUG
rnacentral:rRNA from 1 species